AUUGAACGCUGGCGGCAGGCCUAACACAUGCAAGUCGAGCGGGGUUUUCGGUCCUAGCGGCGGACGGGUGAGUAAUGCGUAGGAAGCUACCCGAUAGAGGGGGAUACCAGUUGGAAACGACUGUUAAUACCGCAUAAUGUCUACGGACCAAAGUGUGGGACCUUCGGGCCACAUGCUAUCGGAUGCGCCUACGUGGGGUUAGCUAGUUGGUGAGGUAAUGGCUCACCAAGGCGACGAUCUCUAGCUGGUUUGAGAGGAUGAUCAGCCACACUGGAGCUGGAACACGGACCAGACUCCUACGGGAGGCAGCGGUGGGGAAUAUUGGACAAUGGGCGCAAGCCUGAUUCAGCCAUGCCGCGUGUGUGAAGAAGGCCUUCGGGUUGUAAAGCACUUUCAGCGAGGAGGAAGGGUGGUGUGUUAAUAGCACAUCAUUUUGACGUUACUCGCAGAAGAAGCACCGGCUAACUCUGUGCCAGCAGCCGCCGUAAAAC
rnacentral:rRNA from 1 species